rnacentral:sRNA from 1 species
CUACGGAAAGGACAUGUAGCACCAGUGGUCUAGUGGUAGAAUAGUACGCUGCCACGGUACAGACCCGGGUUCGAUUCCCUGCUGGUGCAUCUUUGCAAUGAAGAAGCAGCGCUCAUUGUGAUGUUGGGUCAUCACAACCGUUCGAUCUUUCGAAUUAAGAAGCGAUUCUGAGCAU